UUCAAGUUAGAGAAAAAUUAAAACAUGCCACGAGUAAAGCCAAAAAACUGGAAAAACAACUUCAAAAAGAUAAAGAAAAGGUUGAAGAAUUUAAAAGUAUACCUGCCAAGAGUAACAAUAUCAUUAAUGAAACAACAACCAGAAACAAUGCCCUCGAGAAGGAAAAAGAGAAAGAAGAAAAAAAAUUAAAGGAAGUUAUGGAUAGCCUUAAACAGGAAACACAAGGGCUUCAGAAAGAAAAAGAAGUAAGUUUUUUUUAAUCAGUGUUUAUUUUGGUGGCUUUUUUUUUUUUUUUUGACUUAAAGAUUAUUUUUUCAAAAAUACUGAAACCUGAACUGGUAAGUUUGGACUUUUAAUGUCCAACAUUCCUAAAACUAGUCAACCUAGACUUAGAUGACUAUUCUUUUAAUUCCUGCUGACAUGUUUUUUAAAAAGUUUACUAAAUGAGAGUUUGUAGU
rnacentral:sRNA from 1 species